rnacentral:rRNA from 1 species
UACGACUACAUAUCAGGCAUAUCAAUAAGCGGAGGAAAAGAAACUAACUAGGACUCCCUCAGUAACGGCGAGUGAAGCGGGAAGAGCUCAAAUUUGAAACCUUCAAGGUUCUACCUUGACGAAUUGUAGUUUAAAGAAGUGUUUUCUGUUGGAGUUUUGGUAAAAGUUCUUUGGAAUAGGACAUCGUAGAGGGUGAGAAUCCCGUAUUUGACCAUUAUUUCCAACUUUGUGAUACACUUUCAAAGAGUCGGAUUGUUUGGGAAUGCAGUCCAAAAUGGGUGGUAAAUUUCAUCUAAAGCUAAAUACUGGCGAGAGACCGAUAGCGAACAAGUACCGUGAGGGAAAGAUGAAAAGAACUUUGAAAAGAGAGUUAAACAGUACGUGAGAUUGUCAAAAGGGAAGCGUUUGACACCAGUGUUGUUUUCUCGAAAAUCAAUUAAAAAUGAGGGGAUUUUGUGUUGUAUUGACUUUAUCAGCUUUCUGCACUUUUUUCUUGUCUUUUUUAAUGCACUUUUCGUUUAACAAGUCAACAUCAAUUUCUUUUGUUGUAAAAGGGUCAUUGGAAGGUGGCUUUCUUUUCGGAGAAAGUGUUUAUAGCCUUUGACUUCUGCAAUCGGAGAGAUUGAGGUCUGCAGCGUAGAUCCUUCGGGGUUAGAUAGCAUUUGUGCUAAGUUAUAGCUUUUCAUAGACAACAUGUUGACUAUGAUUAAGUCAUGUAGCUUACUCGCUUAUGCUAUUUUACCUACGCUUAGGAUGUUGACGCGCGUGUGUGCGUG